AUGAUUGCCACAUUCUGUUCAGCAAGAACCGAGCACCCACAAAUGGACACAAGGCCAGGCAGGAGCCCAUUUCUGAGGAGCUGCUCUGUGGAAGGUGCGCAUGAUGGGAAGGCUGAUGAAGAGCAAGGAAAACCUCUUUUUUUAAGGGCUGCAAUUCUCCCACCGGAUUGGCAUGACCUUCUUUGUGACCGAACGGUGUUACCUACCAGUCAUUGAUAACAUCAGGUCACCUCCUAUGCAGAAAGUGCCCACUACACGCUGAGAGCCGGGUUAGCUGCAUUAUCUGAUUUCUUCUGCAGCACACCUACACGUGGUAAACAUCACGAGCUCCAGCUUCCAGGUGGGGAGGUAAGGCCACGAGAGUUCUAAAUGUGUCGAUCAUAGGUACAAUCUAGAAAUAAUCUCCCUCUUCGAAGCCGUGAGGGCAUUGCUCACAAGUCCACACCUUGUAUUGUUUUCUUUGCUAAUGAUCAGAAUGCUGGCUGCGGGCUUUUUUUUUAAAAAAAAAGAUGUUAUUUAUUUAUUUAUUUAUUUUUUUAUUUAUUUAUUUAUUUGUGAGAGACACACAGAGAGAGGCAGAGACACAGGCAGAGAGAGAAACAGGCUCCCCACAGGGAGCCCGAUAUGGGACCCAAUCCCAGGACCCCGGGAUCACACCCUGAGCUGAAGACAGAUGCUCAACUACUGAGUCACCCAGGAGCCGUGGCCUCGGUUUUUGACAAAAAAGCCUUCUCUUCCUCCCACACAACAAAGUACUUCUUUAGAACAGUCAUUCUGAGAGCCGUGUUUAUUCAGUGGUAGGGUCUUUUAAAAUGCAGCCACCGUGGGAAUCACGUCAGGGAAGGGGUUGGGCUGCAGUGGCAUUCAGCGACGCCUGGUAUUCUGUUUGCUUCAGAUGAUACUUAACAGUCCAGCGGUUAGGAGAUGGAAAAUAAUUAGUCCGUCUAGCUGGGAGAUUGGGUGAUAAAAGGAAACUGGGCUGCUGAUUAAAUUGUUUAUUUAAGCUCAAGUUUAGCUAUGUUUUCGGCAUAAUGUGUUGUAGGAAGAAGAUAGGGAUCUGUCCUCACUGAGAGACACCCCCAGGGUGGUCGUCAUCCCCACCCCUGCUCACUCACCGCAGCCUGCUGUGCCUUCCUUUCCUGCCUGGCUCCGGGUUGUGAGGAUCUGGGGACUGGGUAGAAUGAGAGAAGGACAGGGAAUGGCCUGGAGUCGGAGUCCCUGGAGCUCUGGUCUCAUGUUCUCUGUCUUGAGCUCCUCCAGGUGUCUACGGCCGCAGCCAGCCACAUUUUGCCGCCUCUUCCUCCUGGGUCUUCUCUGAAUUCUUCUCCCCCUGACUUAUGAAACAAAAAGCAGCUUCCUUUCUUCUCUUUUGUCACUGUUUCCCUGAAUUCCUCCUUCUCUGUGUUAGAACACGGAUAAUUUAUAUGUAAAGUGUCAUUUCAACGCUCAGCUUGCCCAUAUGUAGGUGCACGCAAGGCCAACUUUCUAGGAAAGUGAUAGACCAGCGAAUUACAGCCCUUGGGAUAAGUCCAGCCUGUACCUAUUCUUGUAAAUAAAGUUUUACUGGACACAGCCA
rnacentral:lncRNA from 12 species